rnacentral:lncRNA from 1 species
UAAGUAUUUUUUCACUUUUGGAAAAUUCAUGAAUAAGGCCCAAGAGUCAAAAUAUACAAACCACAAAGUCUCUUGAGGGUGUGUUUCAUGUUGUUUUAAAAACGUUCUUUUUUUGUAAAUUUUAAGUUAGAAAAGGGAAAGCGUGCCCUUAAAAAUUUGCUUGAUAGUAUCAUUUUAAAAAUUGCUUUUACAAGAUGUAAAAGUCAAAAAAGCACUUUUAGGAAAAGCUAGAAAAUCCGAACUUCUAGCUUCUUCUUUUGUGAGAUUAUUCCUUGCCUUUCAAAUAUGGUAAGCUCAUCUACUGAAGUAGUUUUAUAAUGUAUGAUCACCAAGUAAUAAGUAUUACCAAAAGGUGCUUUUUUAUUUAAGAACUCCAAUGGAUGUGAUUUUUGAGAAUGCUUUUUAAAAAGUAGAAGCCAUAUCAAACACUCCCUUGUGAGGUGGAUCUUCAAGGAUUAAUGUACUCAGUGACUUGUUGAUUCAUACUGUGUUUGGAUGAUGCAUAGAUUAACUAUAUACAUUCUUGCUUUCAUGAUUGCCUGAUUUAAUAUUAGCUAAUAUAUUCGCACUAAAUAAGAAUUUCUUGCCUUUUCUUUCGGUUACGCUGCAUUUUUAACUUGUCUUUCUGCAUAGUUUCUAUUAGUUUAGGAUCUUUCCUUUAUAGUCUUCUUUGUGUGUGUGCAUUCAUUAGUUUUCUUCUGCAACAUACAUUUUACUAGUGUUUGUCCUAACCUGGUAGUAGCAAGGCAUCAUAUAGAUCACUCCCCUGUCUGUCCUCUGCAGAUUUUGUAAUGUGGGCUUGGUCCUCAUAUUACUAUUUCAAUAGCCGUAGUGGACUCAAGGACACACUCGAAGCAAGGCAGAUGUAUCUAUUGAUUGUGCAUGUUCUUUAGUUAUUGAGGAUGACUCGUAUAUUGUCAUAGACCCAUAGUUUGGCUGGCCAAUCCAACACUAUCAGAGAGGAGCGUAGCAAACCUGUUUAGAAAAUACUAGCAACAAGCUUGAUCGAUGCAUGUUAAGUAUAAUAAGGAAAAAUGGAGAAAACUUAAGGUACAAUUAGAUAAAUAUUUAUUGGGUUUUUUGCUAUAUACCCCUACUAAUAUGCCUUGUUGCAUAUUUAUGCUUUGAAAACUGCAUGCCUGUAUACCCUCAUCCUAUUUUUUUGCAACAAUACCUCUCUCAUUUUUGGCUAACAGUGUUAAAUGAAUAACAGUUUUAAGCAUGAAAAUGACAUUUUUACCCUUUUGUAUUAAUACCCUAGAUAAAUUUACUAUUCAAUUGUACUUUAGAAAGCUAUAUUUUUGCAUAAAAUUUUCAAGGAUAUUGAUGUAAAAGGAUAAGUGUCAUUUUACACUUAAAGCAUUUACUUAUAGAUACUGUUGGCCAAAAAUGUAGUGGAAGGGGCAUCAUUGCAAAAACAAGGUGAUUUGAGAUACAUACAUACGUACAUACAUGUAUUUUUGCAAUCUUUUGAAGGGUAAACAUGUAAUAAACCAUAUUUGCAGGCAUACGUAUACAGAAAUCCCUUUUUUGUUUUACAAAUUAUAUAUGUUAAAAAUGGAAGGCAAUCUUUUGGAAUAUAGAAUUAGCUGGAUUUUCUGGAUAUUAUCAUCUCAGAUAAAAUUAUUUUUUAGUAGACUAUUCAGCGAGAAUUUUCUUUUCACUUUCUGGAGACAUAGUUUCAACUACUAGGUUUUGGAAGAUGAAAAAAACCAUAUGACUGGAUUCUAUCUGAAAUGAGAUGUGUGAAGGCUAUACUUCUAAGAAAAACAUGGGAGAGUUUUAUAUGGAAGCUUUCUAAAAAAUUUAAAAGGAAAGGAAGAAGUAGUAACAUGGAAGAGAUUAGGGGCAAGUUAGAGAGAGACAGAAUAUAUAAAUUAGGGAGUGUUUGUGUUAAAAAAAUUAUGGGAUUGAGUUGUUGAAAUAUGGGUGCAAGAGAGAGAGGUAUUAUGAACUGUGAUGAGGUGUGCGGGUUGAAGUUUGUUGUGGAGUUUAGCUGAGAUUUGACUCAUUUUUUGCAGUGAUUAUAUUAAAGAGUUUUUAUAUGACCAAUUAAUAUUUCUUUAAAGGUCAGAGCUCUGAGGCUCUCUUUUAUGUAUGUGCUAUAGAUAUAUGGGGCCAUAACCAAGGACCUAUUUUGGUUAUAAAGUUUGAUGUAUCUUUUAAUAGGUGAAUCAGGCAGUGGAUUGGGCUGCUUGGGAAGCACUCAUUUAUUAAAGCUGAAAAUAAACUAUGGGUAUCUACAUACCUGUGAGAGUUCACUAAAUUGUAAUCAGAGAUAUAGGUGCUGGUUUUAGGAGCUUGUAGUUAAAUAAGCAGUAGCGGUUCCGACCCACACGCAGACAGGGAAAAGAGUUAGCUAUUAAACUUUGUUUUUGGAAGGCAGUUGAUUGUUNNNNNNNNNNNNNNNNNNNNNNNNNNNNNNNNNNNNNNNNNNNNNNNNNNNNNNNNNNNNNNNNNNNNNNNNNNNNNNNNNNNNCAAGAGGUGAUGUUAGCCUUUCCAGGUUAUUUGAUUGUAAUCUGAAUUUUCUAAAUGUAGCUUUCUGUUCCUUGAUAUUUUCUAGUAAAGACGUGUGAAGCAUAUUAUCUCGACUAUAUUGAAAAAUGACAGAUUUAACAUUAAAAAAAUAUUCUUUCUAGAUUCUAUCUAUCUUUUUCUUUUAUACCUAAAUCAUCCAUCCAUUUUUCUUAAAAUGUGUAACUUAUGCCUGAAAACUCUUCACUAAACCUGAUUCCUAAUAAGCAGUUCCACUUACCUAAAAUACUUCUCUUGCCAACUAAAGUCCUAUAAUUAGAGUUGGAAGUGGGCUCGUUCCAGCCCAAGGCCCAUUGGGGUGGGCUGACUUCUAAUUGUGCUACAGGCUAGGCCUAAGUAUUUUUGGAUUGGGUUUGGGUUUACAAUUAGGGCCCAUAUACAUCUUUGGCUAGGCUCAGUAGUUAUUUGGCCCGACUUGGGCUUGGCCUGAGCAUGAACUAAAUGAGGCUUGUGGCACUAGGCUGAGCUCGUAGCACACAACCACAAUACCAGGCUGAACUUGAACCAGGCCCGUAGUGCCAUUCGCUUCCUCGGCAUCCGACAUACCAGAAGCACCUCUAAGUGAAGGCAGGGUCGACUACCCAGGGAAGAAAACCAGACUUGGAGGUCUGGGAGGAGGAGGGGGGGCUCUUUCGGGGGGGUGGGUGGGGGUGGACGGUAACUUGGUAGGGCCAUGAUUAACACAUUAAGAGGGGAGCUGGAACCCUAAUCCUAGGCGGGGAAUGGUGCCGCCGCCCAUGAGACUAAGAAGAGGAGAGGAGGGGAACUGAGGGGAAUGAGGCGGACAAGAUGACCCCUCUGUCCUUGUUUGUGUGUCUGUGUUUCUUUUCAUUGCCUUUUGCCAGUGAGCCUAAGCCCAAUUCAGUUUUGGGCCAGGCCCAAGCCUAGGCUCAAGUUGGGCUUGAGCUUGGAUUUUUGAAAAUUUUUGGGCCUAAGCCUAGCCCGAAGCCUGACAAAAAAUUUGGGCCGGGUUCGGUAGGGGCGUGGCUUAGCUCUUUUCCAACCCUACCUAUAAUUGGCAAUCCCUUUUGAAUAUGGAAAAUCAAUCUAUUGAAAAUAUGGAAGGACUUUGGGUUGCUUUUGAAUUUUGACCUAACAAAAAUGUGGAAAAUUUCUUCCAAAUAAAAUGUUGCUUGUUGGAAGUUAAUUUUUUAAAACUAUUUUUUAAAGAAGGAAACUUGAUCUAAUAAACAUAUGGAAAGAUUGUGUUGUUUCUAAAAAUGUGAUGUGACUAGAUUAUGGAGUGAUUUCUUCCAAAUCAAAUCCUAUUUAUUGCUGAUUUUUUUUAAAAUAUAAUAUUCUUUUUUUAUUUUAAUCAUAUAUUUUUUAUAAUUUCUAUGUGAUCUAACUUUCAGAUUUUAUUCUAUUUUCCCUCAAUCUUGUAAUAUAAUAAUGGAAAGCGAUAUGAUUGGGUCUAUAGAGAGUUGAGGUGUAGUUACUAUUGUAUUGAAAACCCUUAUGUGGAUUUUUUUUUCAAACUUGGAGACUUGCAAGCAAGGUUCAAGGUAUUGGUGCUAGUAUUGGUACCUUGUACUCAUAUUUGUACCUUACCGAUAUGGUAUGGACCAGUACACUAUCGUAUCAUACAUGGUAGAACUUUAUGCCAGGAUAGAGAAAAUAGAGGUGAAAGACCACAUAUUAGUACAGUACGACUAUAGAGGGUAAGGUUCGCCGUCUUGGUACUGGACCCUGUAUCGGUGCUACACUAGCACAUUGCCGGUAUGGUACGGUAUGAAUUUUUUUUUGGCAUACCGAGUGUCGGUAUGCCACCUGUACUAGACAUCAGUACCGAACCGAACCGAUACGGUACGUCUUGUACCAUCCGGUUCGGGCCGGUAAAGUGAACCAUGAUGGAGGGUGUACCAAUACCUUAUUGAGACUGUCUAGUAUGGCCAAAUACGAUAUUUAAAUCCUUGCCGAUAAGGAGGCUUUCAUGAGAUAAAGAGCAAAAACCAAUUUUAGUUAGCCAUUAAUGGGGAUAUAUGAAGCUACAGAGAUUGUUAUACUCAAUUAAACAUUAGAUGGGACUCUUGAUUGCAUUCAGUUUAUCAGAAAGUAUCUCUACUCUGUUUACAUAUAUAAUGUAUGAAUUGAAUAGAACCAGUCAAGUUGAUACAUUUAUUUUGGAAGGCAGACAUGAUAUAUUAAUAGUUCUAUUUCCAAGGCAUCAUCUCUAUCCAUAUGACAUUGCUGCCCUCCCAUUAGCAUACAAGAUGGCACUAUCUAGGCUAUAGAUAUAGUCAUAAUACAAAAUUCAGUAAAAUACUUGUCAAUUCUGCAUGAAACAUAUUUUCUUUAACUAAUCAUGAACAUGCUUAUCUUUUGUGGGAACAUAUAAUCAAAGUCCAGAAAUACCAACAUCACACAUCAUAUAUUAGAGGGAGUAUGUAGUCUAAAUGGCACUGUUGUAGGAACCAUCUAAAAUUGUGACCAUUGUCACAUGUUUGAUUUGAUUUUUCUUAAGUUCAAUAAACUUUGCCCAUGACAUGGAUCAUGGGCAGCACAAUAGGCAAUAAUCUUGUUAGGGUGCUUUCUUGAUUAUUACAGACAAUUUUAUCCUCAUUACGGCUACCUUUGGUGGGAGAAUUGUUAAUUUCAUAUUGCUGGAGUCUGAGUUUAGAACCAAUGGCCAUUAGGGGUUUCUCUGGACAUGCAGUGUGCCAGUGUCUAAAUAAUCUUGUGGUUGGGAUGCCUUAAGGUAAAUGUGUUGCUGCUUAGACACUUGGCAUGAAUGCCAAGAAUACAGGUGUCCCAAAAUGUCCUGAGUCCUGACACUUCAACAUCUAUGUACAUGUAUAUUAUAAAUAUUUGGAAAUGUGUUUUUCAAUAUAUUAAAAGAUACUACUGGACUAAAUCAACUUGUUAAUUUUAAUGCUUGUAAACACUGUAUUUUAUGCUAUACUACAUUUAUGGGUCCAGAGGACACUGCCAAAAUUUUUUUACACCUUUGGGUUGACAUAAGUAGGACUUAGGUUUCUGGAUGGCCUGGCUGGCUCAAUUGGCCUGAAAAAGUCUUCAGUUCGGGCUCNNNNNNNNNNNNNNNNNNNNNNNNNNNNNNNGAAGAAUUUGAAGCCUGAAUUAUUUCAUCGCAGCUCUAUUUCCAUAUUUUUAGAAUAUCCAACUAGGUCCUGUUCUAAGCUUCGCUCAGCCUGACUUAGGAUGAAUUCAGGUCUGUUUUUGGCCGGGACAGGCUUGGUGGUUUCAGCUUUAUGGGAGGCAUAAGCAUAUGUCAGCCUGCUGACAUCCUGUUUACACCACUUAACAGGAUGUUCCAUUUUUGGGGAAUCUAGGACUCCUGUUGUGUCCGAGUGGUUGGAACUGUUGGCACUCCAUAAAUCCUGCACAUUGUACUAUAUAUCCAGCGUUCAUAAAUUGAUAAUGAGCUACAAUUUCAAGAACACGAUUCAUGAUAAAACUUCCUCUUUAAAAUAAAGGAGGUAAUCACAAAAGUACAUACAGUUUUAGUAAUUUAAAUCGCUACAUUUCUAAGAAAUUUCUUAUUAAUGUUACCAGAGAUGGAUUAUUGGAUCAUCUGUCAGAGUCCUGUUUGUAACAAAUUAUUGGACCAUUUGCUGACAUCUAUGGUUGCAUCAAAAUAUUUUUGAUUUCAUCUGUUUGUGUUCUAUCAAGAAUGGAUUUGGUUUGAGUUUUAGUUUCUGUUUUAUAAUAUUGGGAGAAUGUCUAUUAUGUUUCAGAUCAUUCAUGAAUGAGUGCUGAUACACUCUCCAAAUCUCAUUCCCAAGUAGUUUAAACCACAAUAAGAUCUGAUUCUUGCAUGUGGGGGUGUCUAGUGAGGGUGAAAAUUCCCCUUUGCCCUCUCAUAACCAGUUUUCAUGUUGGUUUUGACUAUCUGGGGAUACAUUCAUGGAGUGAUGAUGCAGUUGUACCAAAUUUGUGAAUGGCCAAGGUGAUUUUUUACAACUUUUCCCUGCAACUAAUUUCUGUUGACUACCACGGGCUGUAAGUUGUUAUUCUUAAGAAGGAAACAAUAUAACUAGUUAUUUUGGUGAACACCUGAAGCUGAUGGAAACAUGAAAAUGAUAAAAAAAUAUAGGUUUGGUGGAUGAACUUCCUGAAUUUUGAAGUCAGAAACUAUUUCUUUGUGAACAUCUGAAUCUGAUGCAAAGUGGAGCUCUAUGGUUUUUGACAUGAUAAAUUUGUGCUCCUUGUGAUUGCACUAAUGUGGACAUGUCAUCUCAGACCUUUACAUUAUGUACACUAAGUUUCACUAGAUCUUGGCUCAUGCCAUGCAUGUUAGAAAAAGAUGGACGACCAUGAACCCUCCAUCAAAUUAAAGAUUAUUUUCUAUUCUUGUUUCUCCUUGGUAACACACACACACACACACACACACACACACACACACAGAGAGAGAGAGAGAGAGAGAGAGANNNNNNNNNNNNNNNNNNNNNNNNNNNNNNNNNNNNNNNNNNNNNNNNNNNNNNNNNNNNNNNNNNNNNNNNNNNNNNNUCUUUUUCUCUCUAUAUAGUUUCCUUCUUGGCUGAGUGCCCAUGGGACAGCGGAACAACCGAUGACCAUCCAAGGAGAGAUUGUUUUAUAUAGCAUAUGCACUUGUGCUUCUAAAUUAUUAUCAUUAAGAUCAAGUUCUUUAAAUUCCAAUGUUUGUUAUGUUCUUGAUAUACUUCAAAACAUGACAUCUACAUGCCGUGAUGAAAAUUGACUGCUUUUUCUAGACCAGAAAUGAAAAUUACUGUUGUUGCUGCUGCCGCCGCUGCCGCUUCUAGACCAGAAAUGGAAGUUGUUGUUAUUCUUGUUGCUGCUCCUGUCGUCGUCGUUGUUGUUGUUAUUGUUCUUGUUGCUGCGUUGGUGGUAGCGGUGGUGGUCAAAUGCCUUAAUAGCUAAUGGCAGACUGCACCUAUUUAGAUCCAGCAUUCCGCUAGUUUCUAAAAGGAGCUGGUUGAACCAUGCGUUCUAAUUUGUUCAGUUAUGUAUUUUGCAGAGUGGGAUGACAAGGAAGGAGGUAAAGAAGCCUUGCAGCAGUGGGAGGAUGAUUGGGACGACGAUGAUACCAAUGAUGACUUCUCUCUGCAGCUGAGGAGGGAGCUGGAGAACAACUCAGAGAAGAGUUGAAUUUUCUCUUCAUGUACGGACGCUAGCAGACGUGAAAUACAUGGUGGUAAAUUCGGAUUCAUAUCAUUAAAACAUAUUAUACAUCACAAUUUUUAAUAUAUAGCAUGUUUCCAUUCUGAAAUUUUCAUAUCAUUUUUGCUUUUGUAUUUUAUAUGACUGAAUAUUCACCAAAAAAAAAGAAAAAGACUGAACCAUGGGUGCAGGCUUGCACAGGUUUCAAGCACCUAGUUUGUUGCCCCGGUGGCACAAAAUUGAGUGUUUGUGUAACAACAAAUUCAGAUGCAACAAACAGGGAGGAUGCCCUAUUGGUUCAUCAUGGCAUCCAGGGAUUAUGAUUGUUGGUAAUACUAUCUGGGGUGGGCUUGUUCGGUUUCAGACAAAUUUAAUUAUAAGAUUCAAUAAUGUUAAAAACUGAAUUCAAAGAGGUGUUGGAUAGUUCCAAAGAUGUUAAUAAGGAUCUUCAUAUCAGGUUCAUGUUACUUGGAAACCUGUAGAGAGCUCAAGGUCGCUUGUCAGUGGUUUUUCUCCUACCUCUGUUGACCAGUUGGCCUGCCCCUGGAUGCAGUAUGCCUGGCUGGUUCCGGUGAACUGCAGGGGCUGUCGGACAAGUAUCCAGUGACUGCCCUGAUCAAUACCUUCCUUGAUUUCUGUUAAGCACCCAUGCGAGUCAUAGGUAUCGUAUUGGACUGUCAUGCAGGUUCCUGUGGUUCACUAGAACCUGUAAGGUGAACCAUGUCCCCUUCGAAGUAACCCAACCAAAUCAUGUUAGGCUGAGGAAUAGGUUCGCUUCGCUGCUGGCAAGUGCAACCCAAGAUGAAUGGUGAUUGGGGCUGUUUGUGAGAUUCGUAACACUGGUUACUUCAGCACUGCUUGAGGGUGUGCUUGCACUAGCGGCAAGGCAAACCGAUUUCUUUUUGGCCAAUGAUACUACACACCAAUUGCCUCUAAGCAGCUUGCUAGACUCAGUUUGGAUCAAACUUGUUUAUCUUAGAGAUUGGGAGGGAUGGAUUCCUGCCCUUCUAUUCUAAAGUUGACCGCAACUGGAAUUGAACCCCCGCCCUCUUACCUAGGUGGCAAGGGUGAUAUCAUCCGAGCAAGUGGUUGGUGCUUUUAUCAGACAUGUAUUGAAAUGAGAUAAGUUUGCUGCAUCCAACAACCUAAUCAAACUUGGGUUUCGGGAUGUUGCUCCACUCUAACGUGCUGGUAGUGGCUAUACUCGUGUAUCUAUUUGAUUUCUCUUUAAUACAAAUAUUCUCGCUUGUAAUAUAACACGUGAAAGGACCGCGAAGUAUAUCAAGCGUAACGCCCCCCCUCCCCAAAUGAGUCAAUGCAAUAACCAAGAUACUUGAUAUGGCGGGAAUUGAACCCAUGAUAUCUAGCAAAUAUGGUGGGAAUUAGACCCAUGAUAUCUAGCAAACCUGAGCUCCGAUACCAUGUUGGCUAAUCAACUGACAACAAAAAAUUGAGCUAAUAGGGGAUGGGUCAAUAAUAUAUCUCAGGCUUAACACUCUCAAUCGUAUGUGGCGUGGAUGAUGCACAUGGAGGCAAAUCAAAUUAUGAUAUCAUUUGAUAAGGGGAUAAAUGGGGAGUUUGAGUCCCACUUGGAGAGGCUUGAUAGACAAGUUGAAACCUAAUUCAAUUUUAAAAACUCAAUCUAUCUACUUUUCACUAAUUGUUCUAUGUGGGACUAAAUUUCAUGCAUGAUCCUUGUGAGUCAAUUUAACUAUCUCGAG